GCCUUCGUGGUGUAGUGGUCAGCGCGCUCGACGCGAAUUCGAGUGGUCCGUGGUUCGAAUCCCGGAGAGGGCA
rnacentral:tRNA from 1 species